AUUGAACGCUGGCGGCAGGCUUAACACAUGCAAGUCGAGCGGGGGAGGUUGCUUCGGUAACUGACCUAGCGGCGGACGGGUGAGUAAUGCUUAGGAAUCCGCCAUUUAGUGGGGGACAACAUUCCGAAAGGAAUGCUAAUACCGCAUACGUCCUACGGGUGAAAGCAGGGGAUCUUCGGACCUUGCGCUAAAUGAUGAGCCUAAGUCGGAUUAGCUAGUUGGUGGGGUAAAGGCCUACCAAGGCGACGAUCUGUAGCGGGUCUGAGAGGAUGAUCCGCCACACGGGGACUGAAACACGGCCCAGACUCCUACGGGAGGCAGCAGUGGGGAAUAUUGGACAAUGGGCGGAAGCCUGAUCCAGCCAUGCCGCGUGUGUGAAGAAGGCCUUAUGGUUGUAAAGCACUUUAAGCGAGGAGGAGGCUACCUAGAUUAAUACUCUAGGAUAGUGGACGUUACUCGCAGAAUAAGCACCGGCUAACUCUGUGCCAGCCGCCGCAGUAAAAC
rnacentral:rRNA from 1 species